UUUAAAACGCCCACAACAACAACAACAAAAAAAAAAAAAAAAAGCAUAGGCUAAAUACUAAGCCUUACAUGAAUCAUUCAUUCAUUCAUUCCUAAUACAUAGCCACAUCUAUUGCAUGCUCUUCCUCAUCUCCUUCUUAUUCUCCCUUUUCCAUCACCUCAAAAUCUCUCAACACCAAACCAAACUCUCACACAAAACAUAACAACAACAACAACCUUAGCCUACACAAAAAACAUCUUUUCUUUUCAUUCUAAUAUUUUCUCCAUGGCUGUUGAAGCUAGCUACAUGAAUCUCUUGCCUUCUCAUUUACUCACAAAUAGGUACUAUUACAAUUUUGCAAUUUUAUCAUUCUUCAAAUUUUUCGCUAUGAUAUUUUUAACAAUUAUUUGUGGUAAGAAUGAUAAAAUCAUAGUAAACAAUCAUGAUUUUGUCAUAAAUUACAUUUCAAUUUUUAAACAAAAUUGCAGCUAAUUGAAAUAUAUAUUAAACAAUGAUGAAAAUCAUCAUAUGAUUUUGUUGAAACACCAUAGUAUAAUUUUUGAUAAAUUAUGAACUCAUAGAAAAUUCAAACAUUUGUUUGUUGAUAAAACAAAUUAUUUUCUUCAAAUUUGCUAAUACUUAUGUUCCCUUUUGUUUUUUUGUUUGUAUAGGGAAAUAAUAAAAUCAAAUCAACAUCAUUAUCAACAACAAGAACAAGUGUUGAACUCUGAAAUAUACAAUGUUCAAAUGGAUUCUACUCUGCCUCUUCCAACAACAAUGCAUGAAUCUCUCAUACCAUUUUACCAAUCAAAUGUUUGUGAUCCAAACAAAGCUGAUAGUGGACUCACUUACAAUAUACCUCUUCAAAGAAAACGUUCUAGAGAUUUUUCCAAUGAAUUAGUCUCUCUACCACCAAAUCAAAAGAACAAAGUUAUCUCCUCUGAAUCAUCAUCAUCAUCAUUUCUUGAUCAAGUUGUCUACCAAUUUCAAAAUCAACAAUCUGAUAUUGAUCGCAUCCUUGCUCAUCAUGUAAUUUUCAUACCUUCACUUAAAUUUCUCUUUUUUUUUUAUAAUUAAUUUUUUUUUUUUUUGAAAAAAAAAAAAAAUGUUGUUCAAACUUCAUGCUCUUCCUCAUCUCCUUCUUAUUCUCCCUUUUCCAUCACCUCAAAAUCUCUCAACACCAAACCAAACUCUCACACAAAACAUAACAACAACAACAACCUUAGCCUACACAAAAAACAUCUUUUCUUUUCAUUCUAAUAUUUUCUCCAUGGCUGUUGAAGCUAGCUACAUGAAUCUCUUGCCUUCUCAUUUACUCACAAAUAGGUACUAUUACAAUUUUGCAAUUUUAUCAUUCUUCAAAUUUUUCGCUAUGAUAUUUUUAACAAUUAUUUGUGGUAAGAAUGAUAAAAUCAUAGUAAACAAU
rnacentral:lncRNA from 1 species